rnacentral:rRNA from 1 species
UACGUAGGGUGCGAGCGUUAAUCGGAAUUACUGGGCGUAAAGCGUGCGUAGGCGGUUGGCAAAGUCAGCUGUGAAAUCCCCGGGCUUAACCUGGGAACUGCGCUUGUAACUGGCAAGCUUGAGUGUGGCAGAGGGGGGUGGAAUUCCACGUGUAGCAGUGAAAUGCGUAGAGAUGUGGAGGAACACCGAUGGCGAAGGCAGCCCCCUGGGCUAACACUGACGCUCAUGCACGAAAGCGUGGGGAGCAAACAGG